UAGGUGUACCAUGUAUUCAUCAAACGGUGUAUCAUGCAUUCAUCAGACGGUGUAUCAUGCAUUGGUUAGCAGGUGAACCAGGUAUUCAUCAGACGGUUUGUCGUGUGUUCAUCAGACGGUGUAUCAUGCAUUAGUUAGUAGGUGUACCAGGUAUUCAUCAGACGGUGUAUCAUGCAUUCAUCAAACGGUGUAUCAUGCAUUCAUCAGACGGUGUAUCAUGCAUUGGUUAGUAGGUGAACCAGGUAUUCAUCAGACGGUUUGUCGUGUGUUCAUCAGACGGUGUAUCAUGCAUUGGUGAGUAGGUGUAUCAUGCAUUCAUUAAACGGUGUGUCAUG